CCCUUAGAUGUUCUGGGCCGCACGCGCGCUACACUGACGAUGGCAACGAGUUUUUCCUUCGCCGAAAGGUGUGGGUAAUCUUUUGAAACAUCGUCGUGCUGGGGAUAGAUCAUUGCAAUUUUUGAUCUUGAACGAGGAAUUCCUAGUAAGCGCGAGUCAUCAGCUCGCGUUGAUUACGUCCCUGCCCUUUGUACACACCGCCCGUCGCUACUACCGAUUGAAUGGUUUAGUGAUGACUCCUGAUUGGCGCCGCCGCCCCGGCAACGGAGCAGCGGACUGCCGAAAAGUUGUUCAAACUUGAUCAUUUAGAGGAAGUAAAAGUCGUAACA
rnacentral:rRNA from 1 species